rnacentral:sRNA from 1 species
AUUUAUUAAAUGUCAAAUAUUUAAUUCGAAGAUUUUUUUUCUAAUUAUCAAAAACAAAUAUUAAAAUCCAGUGGCAAUCAUUGUAAAUAAUUCUCAACUACAAGAUUUAUUUCACAAAAUAGUUGCAAAAAUGUAUAUAUAGACUAGAUUUUAACCCGCGGUACACCGCGGAGAUAAUUUUUUUUAUUUAAACU